GACGACGCUGGCGGCGUGCCUAACACAUGCAAGUCGAGCGGAGUCGAUCGACGGAAGCCUUCGGGCGGAAGAUGGUUGACUUAGCGGCGGAUGGGUGAGUAACGCGUGGGCAACCUGCCUCGAAGACCGGGAUAACAGCCCGAAAGGGCUGCUAAUACCGGAUGUGGUCAAGGAUCCGCAUGGAUUUUGAUUAAGGGAAACCCGUUUCGAGAUGGGCCCGCGUCCUAUCAGCUAGUUGGUGAGGUAAAAGCUCACCAAGGCGACGACGGGUAGCCGGCCUGAGAGGGUGACCGGCCACACUGGAACUGAGACACGGUCCAGACUCCUACGGGGGGCAGCAGUGGGGAAUCUUCCACAAUGGGCGAAAGCCUGAUGGAGCGACGCCGCGUGAGCGAAGAAGGCCUUCGGGUUGUAAAGCUCUGUCUGGAGGGACGAAGGAAGUGACGGUACCUCCGGAGGAAGCCACGGCUAACUACGUG
rnacentral:rRNA from 1 species